AUGAUGUUUGUGAUUGAUCUCAACAUGAGUCCUCAACAAGAUAAUGCCUCAGAACCUGCAGAUCAACAGGAAGAACACAACAGUCAACAACGAUACAACAAUGAAGAACCAGUCAAUAAUGAAGCAACAGGGGAAGAAGCAAGUGGUGUGGAGGAACCAAUUCAUGAAGAAGCAAGUGGUGUAGAGGAAGCAAUUCAUGAGGAAGCAAGUGCUGUACAGAAACCAAUUCAUGGGGAACUCACAAAUGAGGAGAGAUAUGGUAUUUAUUUUGCACUCAUGGUGAUCAAGACCCAAAAUGGACAAGUUCUGAAAAAAGACAAGGAGGUCAUUGCUAGCCUACUCGAUACAACCGUAAGAACUGUUGAGAGAAUAUGGGAAAGAGCUCUUAAACAGAUUGAAAAAGGGGAGAAAGUUGAUGUCUCAAAUCAAAAGCCAGGUAGAGUUGGCCGCAAGCGGAAAGAUUUGGAUCUGUCGAGGAUGGUGACAAUCCCAUUGAACAGAAGGAGAACAUUGCGAGGUCUGUCAAAGGCAUUGGGUGUAAGCUGCAUGACCUUACACUCAAGGUUCGAGUGGGGUCAUUUGAGGCGUCACAGUAAUAAGUUGAGGCCCCACUUAAACCUAUCCAACAUUGUAAAGAGAUUGAAAUGA
rnacentral:rRNA from 1 species